GAGCGAACGCUGGCGGCAGGCCUAACCCAUGCAAGUCGAACGAACUCUUCGGAGUUAGUGGCGGACGGGUGAGUAACACGUGGGAACGUGCCUUUUGGUUCGGAAUAACUCAGGGAAACUUGUGCUAAUACCGAAUGUGCCCUUCGGGGGAAAGAUUUAUCGCCAUUAGAGCGGCCCGCGUCUGAUUAGCUAGUUGGUGAGGUAACGGCUCACCAAGGCGACGAUCAGUAGCUGGUCUGAGAGGAUGACCAGCCACACUGGGACUGAGACACGGCCCAGACUCCUACGGGAGGCAGCAGUGGGGAAUCUUGCGCAAUGGGCGAAAGCCUGACGCAGCCAUGCCGCGUGAAUGAUGAAGGUCUUAGGAUUGUAAAAUUCUUUCACCGGGGACGAUAAUGACGGUACCCGGAGAAGAAGCCCCGGCUAACUUCGUG
rnacentral:rRNA from 1 species